CUAAAACCUGCCAUCAUCCUCCCAUUCCACACCCCUCCCCUCGCCUUCCGCUCCCGUCGCUGCCUCCGCCUCACCGUCCGCUCGGCCACGGCCAUCGAGAAGGAAACCCCCGAAGCCGAGCGGCCGGAGACAUUCCUCCGCGGCGACGCCUCCUCUUCCGUUCGUGGCCGCUUCGAGCGGAUGAUCCGCUCCGCCCAGGACGAGGUAUGCGCGGCAAUCGAAGCAGCAGACGGCGGGGGACGGUUCGUGGAGGACGUCUGGUCGCGG
rnacentral:misc_RNA from 1 species